rnacentral:rRNA from 1 species
AUUGAACGCUGGCGGAAUGCUUUACACAUGCAAGUCGAACGGCAGCACGGGAGCUUGCUCCUGGUGGCGAGUGGCGAACGGGUGAGUAAUACAUCGGAACGUACCCUGAAGUGGGGGAUAACGUAGCGAAAGUUACGCUAAUACCGCAUAUUCUGUGAGCAGGAAAGCAGGGGAUCGCAAGACCUUGCGUUCUGGGAGCGGCCGAUGUCGGAUUAGCUAGUUGGUGGGGUAAAGGCUUACCAAGGCGACGAUCGGUAGCUGGUCUGAGAGGAUGAUCAGCCACACUGGGACUGAGACACGGCCCAGACUCCUACGGGAGGCAGCAGUGGGGAAUUUUGGACAAUGGGGGCAACCCUGAUCCAGCCAUGCCGCGUGAGUGAAGAAGGCCUC